GCGCGAAACCUCCGCAAUGCGGGAAACCGCGACGGGGGGACCCCGAGUGCCGUGGCAACGCCACGGCUUUUCCGGAGUGUAAAAAGCUCCGGGAAUAAGGGCUGGGCAAGGCCGGUGGCAGCCGCCGCGGUAAUACCGGCGGCCCGAGUGGUGGCCGCUAUUAUUGGGCCUAAAGCGUCCGUAGCCGGGCCCGUAAGUCCCUGGCGAAAUCCCACGGCUCAACCGUGGGGCUUGCUGGGGAUACUGCGGGUCUUGGGACCGGGAGAGGCGGGGGGUACCCCUGGGGUAGGGGUGAAAUCCUAUAAUCCCAGGGGGACCGCCAGUGGCGAAGGCGCCCCGCUGGAACGGGUCCGACGGUGAGGGACGAAGGCCAGGGGAGCAAACCGGAUUAGAUACCCGGGUAGUCCUGGCUGUAAAGGAUGCGGGCUAGGUGUCAGGUGAGCCUCGAGCUCGCCCGGUGCCGUAGGGAAGCCGUUAAGCCCGCCGCCUGGGGAGUACGGCCGCAAGGCUGAAACU
rnacentral:rRNA from 1 species